CCUACGGGUGGCAGCAGUGAGGCAUAUUGGUCAAUGGACGAGAGUCUGAACCAGCCAAGUAGCGUGAAGGAUGACUGCCCUAUGGGUUGUAAACUUCUUUUAUAUGGGAAUAAAAUGUUCCACGUGUGGGAUUUUGUAUGUACCAUAUGAAUAAGGAUCGGCUAACUCCGUGCCAGCAGCCGCUGUAAUACGGAGGAUCCGAGCGUUAUCCGGAUUUAUUGGGUUUAAAGGGAGCGUAGGUGGAUUGUUAAGUCAGUUGUGAAAGUUUGCGGCUCAACCGUAAAAUUGCAGUUGAAACUGGCAGUCUUGAGUACAGUAGAGGUGGGCGGAAUUCGUGGUGUAGCGGUGAAAUGCUUAGAUAUCACGAAGAACUCCGAUUGCGAAGGCAGUUCACUGGACUGCAACUGACACUGAGGCUCGAAAGUGUGGGUAUCAAACAGGAUUAGAUACCCCAGUAGUC
rnacentral:rRNA from 1 species